ACGGUCCUACGGGACGCAGCAGUGGGGAAUAUUGCACAAUGGGGGAAACCCUGAUGCAGCGACGCCGCGUGAGUGAAGAAGUAUUUCGGUAUGUAAAGCUCUAUCAGCAGGGAAGAUAAUGACGGUACCUGACUAAGAAGCCCCGGCUAACUACGUGCCAGCAGCCGCGGUAAUACGUAGGGGGCAAGCGUUAUCCGGAUUUACUGGGUGUAAAGGGAGCGUAGGUGGCAGGGCAAGUCAGAUGUGAAAACCGGGGGCUCAACCCAGGGAGGGCAUUUGAAACUGUCCAGUUG
rnacentral:rRNA from 1 species